GAUGAACGCUAGCGGCAGGCUUAACACAUGCAAGUCGAGGGGUAUAGUUCUUCGGAACUAGAGACCGGCGCACGGGUGCGUAACGCGUAUGCAAUCUACCUUUUGCAGAGGGAUAGCCCAGAGAAAUUUGGAUUAAUACCUCAUGGUAUGUGAGAAUGGCAUCAUUUUCACAUUAAAGUCACAACGGCAAAAGAUGAGCAUGCGUCCCAUUAGCUUAUUGGUAAGGUAACGGCUUACCAAGGCAACGAUGGGUAGGGGUCCUGAGAGGGAGAUCCCCCACACUGGUACUGAGACACGGACCAGACUCCUACGGGAGGCAGCAGUGAGGAAUAUUGGACAAUGGGCGCAAGCCUGAUCCAGCCAUGCCGCGUGCAGGAUGACGGUCCUAUGGAUUGUAAACUGCUUUUGUACAGGAAGAGACACUGGUUCGUGAACCAGCUUGACGGUACUGUAAGAAUAAGGAUCGGCUAACUCCGUGCCAGCAGCCGCGGUAACAC
rnacentral:rRNA from 1 species